GGUAUUGCUUCCGUCUAUUAACUCCCAUUCGUAGUAUGUGGUUUAAUUCGACGCAACGCGAAGAACCUUACCAGGUCUUGACAUUGAUGGACAGAACUAGAGAUAGUUCCUCUUCUUCGGAAGCCAGAAAACAGGUGGUGCACGGUUGUCGUCAGCUCGUGUCGUGAGAUGUUGGGUUAAGUCCCGCAACGAGCGCAACCCCUAUCUUAUGUUGCCAGCACUUCGGGUGGGAACUCAUGAGAGACUGCCGCAGACAAUGCGGAGGAAGGCGGGGAUGACGUCAAAUCAUCAUGCCCCUUAUGACCUGGGCUACACACGUACUACAAUGGGAGUUAAUAGACGGAAGCAAUACC
rnacentral:rRNA from 1 species